rnacentral:rRNA from 1 species
UACGAAGGGGGCUAGCGUUGCUCGGAAUCACUGGGCGUAAAGGGUGCGUAGGCGGUCAGGUAGGUCGGUUGUGAAAACUGGAGGCUCAACCUUCAGAGGUCGACCGAAACCCCCUGGCUAGAGUCCGGGAGAGGAGAGUGGAAUUCCUGGUGUAGCGGUGAAAUGCGCAGAUAUCAGGAAGAACACCCGUGGCGAAAGCGGCUCUCUGGAACGGUACUGACGCUGAGACGCGAAAGCGUGGGGAGCGAACAGG